GACGAACGCUGGCGGCGUGCUUAACACAUGCAAGUCGAACGGAAAGGCCCUGCUUUUGUGGGGUGCUCGAGUGGCGAACGGGUGAGUAACACGUGAGUAACCUGCCCUUGACUUUGGGAUAACUUCAGGAAACUGGGGCUAAUACCGGAUAGGAGCUCCUGCUGCAUGGUGGGGGUUGAAAAGUUUCGGCGGUUGGGGAUGGACUCGCGGCUUAUCAGCUUGUUGGUGGGGUAGUGGCUUACCAAGGCUUUGACGGGUAGCCGGCCUGAGAGGGUGACCGGCCACAUUGGGACUGAGAUACGGCCCAGACUCCUACGGGAGGCAGCAGUGGGGAAUAUUGCACAAUGGGCGGAAGCCUGAUGCAGCAACGCCGCGUGCGGGAUGACGGCCUUCGGGUUGCAAACCGCUUUCGCCUGUGACGAAGCGUGAGUGACGGUAAUGGGUAAAGAAGCACCGGCUAACUACGUG
rnacentral:rRNA from 1 species